AACGAACGCUGGCGUCAUGCCUAACACAUGCAAGUCGAACGAGACCUUCGGGUCUAGUGGCGCACGGGUGCGUAACGCGUGGGAACCUGCCCUUAGGUUCGGAAUAACUCCCCGAAAGGGGUGCUAAUACCGGAUAAUGUCUUCGGACCAAAGAUUUAUCGCCUUUGGAUGGGCCCGCGUUGGAUUAGCUAGUUGGUAGGGUAAAAGCCUACCAAGGCGACGAUCCAUAGCUGGUCUGAGAGGAUGAUCAGCCACACUGGGACUGAGACACGGCCCAGACUCCUACGGGAGGCAGCAGUGGGGAAUAUUGGACAAUGGGCGAAAGCCUGAUCCAGCAAUGCCGCGUGAGUGAUGAAGGCCUUAGGGUUGUAAAGCUCUUUUACCCGGGAUGAUAAUGACAGUACCGGGAGAAUAAGCUCCGGCUAACUCCGUG
rnacentral:rRNA from 1 species